GACGAACGCUGGCGGCGUGGAUUAGGCAUGCAAGUCGAACGGUAUCAUCCUUUCGGGGGUGAGAGAGUGGCGAACUGGUGAGUAACACGUAGGUUAUCUACCCUCAAGACGGGGACAACCCAGGGAAACUUGGGCUAAUACCGGAUGUGAGCAACUUUUAGUUGUUUGAAAGGUGGCGUAAGCUGUCGCUUGGGGAUGAGCCUGCGUCCUAUUAGUUAGUUGGUGAGGUAACGGCUCACCUAGGCAAUGAUAGGUAGGCGGCCUUAACGGGUGGUCGCCCACACUGGGAUUGAGAUACGGCCCAGACUCCUACGGGAGCAGCAGUCGAGAAUAGUCUACAAUGGUCGGAAGACUGAUAGUGCGACGCCGCGUGAACGAUGAAUCCCUUCGGGGUGUAAAGUUCUUUUAUAUGUGAGCAGUGCUUCUUAUAUUAACAGUAUGGGGAAGAGAUAUUAGCAUAUGAAUAAGCAACGGCUAACUCCGUGCCAGCCAGCCGCGGUAAACUCGU
rnacentral:rRNA from 1 species